GUGGUGCUGCAGCAUGGGGACAGCCGCCUCUACCGCCUCAGGGCCCAGGAGGAGGCCACAACCUGGUUCCAUCUGCACGUUGUGGAGCCGCUGUCCCCACCAGAAAUUGUGGGCAACUCCUUGGUGAAGGCAGGAGGCAACACCAAACUGGUUUGCACCGUGGUGCGAGGGACAGCAGAUGCCUACUGGUGGAAGAAAAAUGGGGAGCUGCUCGUGGGAAGUGAGCGCAUCCAGUUUGUGGAGAACACCACGCUUCGCAUCCUGCGGGUGUCCAUCAGUGACAGUGGCUACUACACCUGCGUGGUGAGCAACGCCGUGAGCCAGAAUGAGACCUCCUUCCUGCUCAAGGUCCACCACUCUGCCCAUGUGGUGCUGCCUGUGGUCCUGUCCUGUGUCAUGGUCGGCUCACUCGCAGGUGUCUUUGUCUGGUACCAGAGAAGGAAGAACUCAUGUGACAGCUGUUGGUAGUGCUGGGUCAGCCCUGCUGCUACCCUUCCCUGGUGACCCUGGUGAUGGGUACUGCUGGGAGUGCCAGGUGUCCCAUCCCAUCCCAGCCUCUCCUGUGCUCACCUGUGAAAUGUUCAAGCUGCCAGAACCUGCAAAUAUUUUUUUGGAAAACACUGGUUUGGACUAUUUCUAUGUUGUCCUGUUCUUCCUGUUGUGCAUCCCUGGGGAGAGGGAUGUACCUGCUCCCUCCAUCCUCCUGGCUUCCUCCAGAGGCCUCGAUGUGCUCUUGGCUCUGGAAGAGCCACUGUCCCUGCUGGGCAAAUCCACAGUCCUGGGGCUGCUGGGAGGUGCCUCCUGGGGGCCUCCUGGUGUCCUGCUGUGCCAGGGGUUUGCCAGGGGGCUCAGGGGCUGAGGCUCUGGGCAUCCUGCUCCUUGUGACCCUUGGAGGGAGGAAAGGGCAGGAUUGUGCUGGGUGUGCAGCUGGAGGGAGAGGAGGCAGCAGAAGCUGGCAGGGAAUGGGGGAGCAGCAAAGGAGUUAGGUUUCUGAAAGCAGAUCCCAAGGAAAUCCCUGCAGCUGGCUGAAGUGGGGGUGCUCCUGAGCCCAUCUCCUCCAGCCCUGGGCUCUGCAGGAUCGGGGGAUAUCCCUGGGGACAUCCCUCCUCUUCCCAGCACCAGUGCUGGUGCCAGCUUGUCCUUCCCAUUUGCUGUUCCUGCGGGUGACAUCGGCCUUGGCCUGGCUGGAUACAGGGAGCCCUGCUCCUGUCCCCUGAUGUCCUCUCCCUCCCCGUGCUGCCUCUGCAGGGCUUUCCUAGGCUGUGCUGUGGAGGGGAUGUUACUCUUUCGGCUGAGCCUGGAGGCAGAGCAGACAUCCCCAGCCUGGAGAGACCUGGAUCCUUUCCCAGGUGCUGGACCCCACUGUUGGUCACCCUGGAACAUUUGCAUCCCCUCUUAAUCUGAGGGGGAAAUCCCAGGUCCAGGGCCCUCCCUGAGCCAGUCCCCAGCACCUCUGGAGCAGGCUGGGGACCUCUCAAAGGCAAACUGGAAAAUUGUGGGAGAGAUCACUGGGAGAUUCAGGGGCUGUUAGCAAGGGGCCAUCUCAGCCUCGGGUUUUGUGGAGCCAUUAAAGGUAGCAGAGGAGUUUGGGUGGAAUAAAUGAGAUUCCAGUCCUGUUGGAAGCUGCA
ensembl:lncRNA